CUAUUAUCGUCUCUAUUUCAAAACCGAACAUGAUUUUUUAGUAUCAUACGGCUCCUUUAUGAAUUUUAAUUUUUUUUUAUAUCAUAUUUUUGUAUUUAAAUAAAUUCAUAACAUCUAUGUUAGUUUUUUCAUUAUUU
rnacentral:tRNA from 1 species